UGAAACGUAGCAUGCAAUACAGGACGUCACGGCCUGAGCUGCCUCCGGCAAGGUGCCAUAGGCAAGGUGGACUGUGAUAGUCUUUAGAAUAGGAGCAAAGCAGGUCACUUGAAUGCUGCGUGGUUCCUGAGAAAGGUGUUGUAGAGAAGAAAAGUUGUCUGGCAUGGCAGUUCCUGAUGGCAGCCUGUUUCUGCAGGUGAAGAGGUGUCUGAAGCCCCAUCCCAUGUAGCCUGAGCACGCCUCGCUGAGGAUGAAGCCUGCUUUUCAGCAGUUCCCAAAGGCAUGUUGGGCCUGAAAUGCCCAGGUCAUAGGCAUGGACUAAGCUGAAAAGUUGAACGAGGCAUGAGGGCGAGUGGAUGGCAGUGUGGGCCCUGAGUUGGUUGUUGGAUUCUGCUGGUCUGUUUUGCCUGUUGCGCAGGCUUGGCAAGCACUUGCGACAGCAGAAUACAUCUCCUGCCACAUUCCUGAGGCACGCCAGACGUCAGCGGGUCCAGUUCCUGAAAUGCUGGAGAUCCUCGGAGUGCAGGAGGAGCAGAGUGUGAUAUAUCUCUUUGGGACAUUAGUCUAAGCCAUGUGACCUUGGCUCGGCACAGCAAAUGGAAGUGCUAAGCCUGGAUCGGGAAGGUGAAGAGGAGCCUCAUGACUGAAGCAAUGUCCUGGCUAGCCUUUGUGUUUCUUUUUGAGGAUGGAACAUGCCUCCCAGCAUUCCCAAGCUAAGUUGGGGGGCAAGUGCUAUGUCUGGAUUGGGGUUGUGAAUGGACACAUAGGGCGAGGGUCUGUGCUUCUAAGUCAUUGCGGCAGAUAGGGCCUUUCAGGAUUGAUCAUGGUCAGACAGAGAGAGGGUAUGUGUGGGGGGUCCUGUCAGGUACGGCUUGAGCAUGCGCCAGGCAGGGCAGUUCCAGCUUGGUGUCUGUGUGCUG